UACGUAGGGUGCGAGCGUUAAUCGGAAUUACUGGGCGUAAAAGUGUGCGCAGGCGGCAGAGCAAGUCGAGUGUGAAAGCCCCCGGGGCUUAACUUGGGAAUUGCGCUCGAAACUACUUUGCUGGAGUGUGGCAGAGGAAGGUGGAAUUCCACGUGUAGCGGUGAAAUGCGUAGAGAUGUGGAGGAACACCAAAUGGCGAAGGCAGCCUUCUGGGCCAACACGUCGAACCGCUCAUGCACCGAAAAGCGUUGGGGGGAGCAAAACAGGGAAUUUAGAAAACCCCC
rnacentral:rRNA from 1 species